rnacentral:rRNA from 1 species
AGAGUUUGAUCCUGGCUCAGGACGAACGCUGGCGGCGCGCCUAACACAUGCAAGUCGAACGAGCGAGAGAGAGCUUGCUUUCUCGAGCGAGUGGCGAACGGGUGAGUAACGCGUGAGGAACCUGCCUCAAAGAGGGGGACAACAGUUGGAAACGACUGCUAAUACCGCAUAAGCCCACAGCUCGGCAUCGAGCAGAGGGAAAAGGAGCAAUCCGCUUUGAGAUGGCCUCGCGUCCGAUUAGCUAGUUGGUGAGGUAACGGCCCACCAAGGCGACGAUCGGUAGCCGGACUGAGAGGUUGAACGGCCACAUUGGGACUGAGACACGGCCCAGACUCCUACGGGAGGCAGCAGUGGGGAAUAUUGCACAAUGGGGGAAACCCUGAUGCAGCGACGCCGCGUGGAGGAAGAAGGUCUUCGGAUUGUAAACUCCUGUUGUUGAGGAAGAUAAUGACGGUACUCAACAAGGAAGUGACGGCUAACUACGUGCCAGCAGCCGCGGUAAAACGUAGGUCACAAGCGUUGUCCGGAAUUACUGGGUGUAAAGGGAGCGCAGGCGGGAAGGCAAGUUGGAAGUGACAUCCAUGGGCUCAACCCAUGAACUGCUUUCAAAACUGUUUUUCUUGAGUAGUGCAGAGGUAGGCGGAAUUCCCGGUGUAGCGGUGGAAUGCGUAGAUAUCGGGAGGAACACCAGUGGCGAAGGCGGCCUACUGGGCACCAACUGACGCUGAGGCUCGAAAGUGUGGGUAGCAAACAGGAUUAGAUACCCUGGUAGUCCACACUGUAAACGAUGAUUACUAGGUGUUGGAGGAUUGACCCCUUCAGUGCCGCAGUUAACACAAUAAGUAAUCCACCUGGGGAGUACGACCGCAAGGUUGAAACUCAAAGGAAUUGACGGGGGCCCGCACAAGCAGUGGAGUAUGUGGUUUAAUUCGACGCAACGCGAAGAACCUUACCAAGUCUUGACAUCCUGCGACGCACAUAGAAAUAUGUGUUUCCUUCGGGACGCAGAGACAGGUGGUGCAUGGUUGUCGUCAGCUCGUGUCGUGAGAUGUUGGGUUAAGUCCCGCAACGAGCGCAACCCUUGUGGUCAGUUACUACGCAAGAGGACUCUGGCCAGACUGCCGUUGACAAAACGGAGGAAGGUGGGGAUGACGUCAAAUCAUCAUGCCCUUUAUGACUUGGGCUACACACGUACUACAAUGGCGUUAAACAAAGAGAAGCGAGACCGCGAGGUGGAGCAAAACUCAGAAACAACGUCCCAGUUCGGACUGCAGGCUGCAACUCGCCUGCACGAAGUCGGAAUUGCUAGUAAUCGCAGAUCAGCAUGCUGCGGUGAAUACGUUCC